rnacentral:rRNA from 1 species
CCUACGGGAGGCAGCAGUGAGGAAUAUUGGUCAAUGGACGAGAGUCUGAACCAGCCAAGUAGCGUGAAGGAUGACUGCCCUAUGGGUUGUAAACCUCUUUUAUAAAGGAAUAAAACGAGGCACGUGUGCCUUUUUGCAUGUACUUUAUGAAUAAGGAUCGGCUAACUCCGUGCCAGCAGCCGCGGUAAUACGGAGGAUCCGAGCGUUAUCCGGAUUUAUUUGGUUUAAAGGGAGCGUAGAUGGGUUGUUAAGUCAGUUGUGAAAGUAUGCGGCUCAACCGUAAAAUUGCAAUUGAUACUGGUGAUCUUGAGUACAGUUGAGGUAUGCGGAAUUCGUGGUGUAGCGGUGAAAUGCUUAGAUAUCACGAAGAACCCCGAUUGCGAAGGCAGCUUACUAAACUGUGACUGACAUUGAUGCUCGAAAGUGUGGGUAUCAAACAGGAUUAGAUACCCGUGUAGUC